GAUGAACGCUAGCGGCAGGCCUAAUACAUGCAAGUCGGACGGGAUUGGGAAGCUUGCUCCCCAUGAGAGUGGCGCACGGGUGCGUAACACGUAUGUAACCUACCCUUGUCAGGGGGAUAGCCUCUCGAAAGAGAGAUUAACACCGCAUAACAUUAUUGGAUGGCAUCAUUUAAUAAUCAAAUAUUUAUAGGACAAGGAUGGGCAUGCGGGACAUUAGCUAGUUGGUAGGGUAACGGCUUACCAAGGCUACGAUGUCUAGGGGAUCUGAGAGGAUGGCCCCCCACACUGGUACUGAGACACGGACCAGACUCCUACGGGAGGCAGCAGUAAGGAAUAUUGGUCAAUGGGCGCAAGCCUGAACCAGCCAUGCCGCGUGCAGGGAGACGGCCCUACGGGUUGUAAACUGCUUUUGCGCCGGAAUAAACCCUUUUACGAGUAGGAGGCUGAAUGUACGGCGAGAAUAAGGAUCGGCUAACUCCGUGCCAGCCGCCGCGGUAA
rnacentral:rRNA from 1 species